AUUGAACGCUGGCGGCAGGCCUAACACAUGCAAGUCGAACGGUAACAGGAAGCAGCUUGCUGCUUUGCUGACGAGUGGCGGACGGGUGAGUAAUGUCUGGGAAACUGCCUGAUGGAGGGGGAUAACUACUGGAAACGGUAGCUAAUACCGCAUAACGUCGCAAGACCAAAGAGGGGGACCUUCGGGCCUCUUGCCAUCAGAUGUGCCCAGAUGGGAUUAGCUAGUAGGUGGGGUAACGGCUCACCUAGGCGACGAUCCCUAGCUGGUCUGAGAGGAUGACCAGCCACACUGGAACUGAGACACGGUCCAGACUCCUACGGGAGGCAGCAGUGGGGAAUAUUGCACAAUGGGCGCAAGCCUGAUGCAGCCAUGCCGCGUGUAUGAAGAAGGCCUUCGGGUUGUAAAGUACUUUCAGCGGGGAGGAAGGGAGUAAAGUUAAUACCUUUGCUCAUUGACGUUACCCGCAGAAGAAGCACCGGCUAACUCCGUG
rnacentral:rRNA from 1 species